AACAUUCAUUGCUGUCGGUGGGUUUGCAGCAGAAUAACUCACUGAUCAAUGAAUGCAG
ensembl:miRNA